GGCCUUGUGGUCUAGUGGUAUGAUUCUCGCUUUGGGUUCUGUUCUCAGAUUGCGAGAGGCCCCGCGUUCGAAUCGCGGCAGGGCCC
rnacentral:tRNA from 1 species